rnacentral:rRNA from 1 species
GAGUUUGAUCGUGGCUCAGGAUGAACGCUGGCGGCGUGCCUAACACAUGCAAGUCGAACGGAGUUUAUGAGGAAGAAGCUUCGGCGGAAUUCUUAUAAACUUAGUGGCGGACGGGUGAGUAACACGUGGAGAACCUGCCUCUUACCGGGGGACAGCAGUUGGAAACGACUGAUAAUACCGCAUAAGCGCACGAGACCGCAUGGUCCUGUGUGAAAAGAUUUAUCGGUAAGAGAUGGCCCCGCGUCUGAUUGGCCAGUUGGCGGGGUAACGGCCCACCAAAGCGACGAUCAGUAGCCGGCCUGAGAGGGUGAACGGCCACAUUGGGACUGAGACACGGCCCAGACUCCUACGGGAGGCAGCAGUGGGGGAUAUUGCACAAUGGAGGAAACUCUGAUGCAGCGACGCCGCGUGAGUGAAGAAGUAUUUCGGUAUGUAAAGCUCUAUCAGCAGGGAGAAAGACCUCGAAAGAGGGGAUGACGGUACCUGAGUAAGAAGCCCCGGCGUAACUACGUGCCAGCAGCC